rnacentral:rRNA from 1 species
UACGAAGGUGGCAAGCGUUAUCCGGAUUUACUGGGUGUAAAGGGAGCGUAGGUGGUUCGGUAAGUCAGAUGUGAAAGCCCGGGGCUCAACCCGGGACUGCAUUUGAAACUAUCGGACUAGAGUGCAGGAGAGGUAAGUGGAAUUCCUAGUGUAGCGGUGAAAUGCGUAGAUAUUAGGAGGAACACCAGUGGCGAAGGCGGCUUACUGGACUGUAACUGACACUGAGGCUCGAAAGCGUGGGGAGCAAACAGG